AUUGAACGCUGGCGGCAUGCUUUACACAUGCAAGUCGAACGGCAGCGCGGGCUUCGGCCUGGCGGCGAGUGGCGAACGGGUGAGUAAUGCAUCGGAACGUGCCCAGUCGUGGGGGAUAGCCCGGCGAAAGCCGGAUUAAUACCGCAUACGACCUGAGGGUGAAAGCGGGGGACCGAAAGGCCUCGCGCUAUUGGAGCGGCCGAUGUCGGAUUAGCUAGUUGGUGGGGUAAAGGCUUACCAAGGCGACGAUCCGUAGCUGGUCUGAGAGGACGACCAGCCACACUGGGACGGAGACACGGCCCAGACUCCUACGGGAGGCAGCAGUGGGGAAUUUUGGACAAUGGGGGCAACCCUGAUCCAGCCAUGCCGCGUGCGGGAAGAAGGCCUUCGGGUUGUAAACCGCUUUUGUGCGGGAAGAAAUCCUCUGGGCUAAUACCCCGGGGGGAUGACGGUACCGGAAGAAUAAGCACCGGCUAACUACGUG
rnacentral:rRNA from 1 species